rnacentral:miRNA from 1 species
AGAGCUUUCUUCGUUCCAGUCUUGACUCAAGACUAGGAGCUUUUUGGCCUACUUGAUAAGUGGAAAAUACACAAAUGAAGAAUAUGU